rnacentral:tRNA from 1 species
GGGGAUUUAGCUUAGUGGCAUAAGUGCCUGCCUGGCAAGCAGAAGGUCAUGAGUUCAAUCCCCA